CUCCUCCGCCUACUCCGCCCGCUCCGCCUGGCUGAGAACCCAGAUCCGCGCUUGUACAGGGCGGCCGGUCGCCUCCGCCUUCAGGACCUGCGGGGCGCGCGCGAGGUGGAGAUGAGAGGUCUGGACUUCUGAACGUCUAUCAGGAAAGAUGAGAUGAGCAAGCCCUUCAGAAUGCUGCGGAGGUUGGGGCUAAACUGAAGUGGGAGAGAAGAGAUGCUGGUCUGAGGGUAUCUGAAGACUACCUGAAAAACCUGAAUGAACUCCUCUCUUUUCCAUCAAAGACACCUGGAAGCCAGGCAGCUAUGAUAAAUGUGCACCACCCCUGCGCAGAUAGUGUUUUCAGUCCCAUGGUCAGGUGCUGCAGCCACAGCCAGCCACACUUGAUCAGCACAGUGUCAUGGAAGGCAGAGUCAGGAAGAGCUGUGCCUGCUCGCUGCCGUGAGAUGGGGGGUUUGGGUCUGGAGGUUGUCAGCGGUGUGCUGUGAUGCAUGUUCUGUGCAUUACAGUCAUGUGCUCAGUUACUUCCCCAGGAAGUUACACCCUCAACAAGUGCAAUAAAUCAUACAUACAGCCAUAGAACAAAUGUAUGGAGACAUAUGGGGCUGAUGGACACCAAGUUUGCAAUCCUUAUAGCCUCUGAGAAGGGGACAUGAUGAGGAGGAAUCCACAGGGUUGCCAAGGACAAAGGUAGGGGUUGUCUUUAAAACUUGUCUUAGUACUUCCCUCCUUGCUGGGCCUUUCUGGGCCUUGCUGGGCCACUUAAGGAAAGAUUUAUUUUGGCUCACAUUUCAGUCCGUAGUCAGCUGGCUACAAAGCAGAAAGGCAUGGCAGAGGGGUCUGGCAGAGGAGAGCUGUUCAAGGCAUGGUAGACAGGAAGCAGAGAGAAAGGGCAGAGACAGGAAGAGAAAUAAGCACUUCCGGGUCACACAGUGACCUGCUCUUUUGACCAGGCCCCACCUCCUAACAGCAAGCCAUCUAUAAGCCCCCAUAAUCCAGUCAUCUUCCAAAGAACCCACCUAUGGGUGCAUUUGGGGGACAUCUAGGUAUAAACUAUAAUAAACCUUUUUAUUUUUUCUGGUUUUGGUGCUGUGGAUUGAACCCAGGGCCUCAGGCAUGCUAAGCACACACUUCACCAUUGGACUACACCCCCAGCUCCUUUUUGUAUAUCUUCAGAACUGUAUUUCAAAUGAACAAAACACACACCGCACUUGUGACUCAUGAAAUUUUAUGCCUUUGAAAAGCACAGAUGCAUCAAGAGGUGCUGGUAGGUAAAAUUGCUGUUGAACAUGAGCUAGAAUAGAGCUGGCCCUGCUUGGCUGCAUCUCAGUAAACAUCAGGGCUGCAGGGUCAGGGGAGCAGACACAUCAAAGCCACUGGGUUCUCCAGGGACUCCAAGCCCAGAGCCUGUCCCCUGCUCAGUAAUGUAACAUGGAUGCAGUGCAUUGCCUCUGAGUCUUCCCACCUCCUGAGCCAGGGCUGCGAGGUGCUGGCUGCAAACCUGGUGUCCCUGACCCUGGCUGGGCAGCAGCCCUGGGAGAAGGACAGGAAGUGGGAACUCACACACUGCACACACUGGUGACCUCCUGGGCUUCUCUGCUUGCCUGUGUGGCUUUGAUAAUUUUCCUUCAUGGGGGAAGUACUCACAUGGGUAAAGCUGCACUUUUAUUGAAUAACAUUUUAUUUUAGUAAAUAGCUUUGUGUAUAGACUGUUUCCAGUCCUCUAGAAGAUUCCCUUGGGAAUUCCAGCCUCCAAGUUUUUUCUGGGUGUGGGAGUGCAUGGGGCUGGCGGGACAGGUGUCACAGUCUUGGCCUCGUGUCCUGAAUGUGUGGGGCAGGGGUGGACCUCAGACAACCACCCACAGAGGAGCCUGUAAUCGUGACAUCCUAGAGGCUGUCGGAAGGGACCCUGGGGCCUGAUGUUGGGACAGGUCCCACAAAACAGGUGACUUGGGGGGAUACUGGGGAUUGAACCCAGGUCCUUCACACUGAGCUAUAUAGCCAGAUAUUUUUAUUUCUUGAGACAGAGUCUCACUGGCUUACUAAGUUGCCCAGGCUGGUGUUGAACUUGUGAUCCUCCUGCCUCAGCUUCCAAGAAGACUGGAAUUACUGGCAGAGAAGGGGAACUUUGAGCUGAAUCUUGAGGGAUAAAGAGAUGUUUACCAGGUGGUGAAGAGGGUGGCGUCUUAGGCUAAAUGGUGGAUACAGGGUUGCAGGGUGGGGUGGUGAGGUAGACUUAGCAAAAAUGACUAGCAAUGGAAAUAAAGAUCUGAAUCACCUUGGGGAAUACUAUGUAGUCUGUGUCAGAGUUUAGACCAUGAUAUAAGUCUCAGGAGCAUCUUGUAAUCAAUUUUGGGUUCCUCAAAUUUGAGGGGAAGGAUUUCUAGGAAAGAAGAAACCCCCUACUGACUCCUUUCAUCCAAGGGUGCUGAUUUUGAUCAAAUGUAGGGUUUGGAGGUGUGAUGCCUGUAGCUGUAGCAGCCAUUUCAGCACUGGCAACAUUGGUUAUUAGCAGGCCCUAGCCUCAGGGAAGAUGGACUAUGAGGUGGAAAAAAUCUGGGGAAACUGGGCCUUAUCGGAUCUUGUAGCCACUGCAUCAGCACCUGGCACCUCAAGAAGCCCCACUCAGCUACCAACAUCCCCCAGCUACUUUCAUUGCAUAGAAAAAUUUUAAGAUCUUAUUUGGAAAUAAUGUCAAACUUCCAGUACAGUUGCAAGUUCAAAGGACUCCAAAUUCCAGUUGCAUGGAUUCAGCAUCGUGUAUCAUUUUGCUCUGUUGCUGUGCAAGCAGAUUGCAGACAUCACCCCUGUGCCACACACUCCAUCCAUGUGAUCCCCAGGGUUCCUGCAUCCCUGCAGGUCUCACAUGCUGCAACCUGGCCAUUGACAUGCAAUUCAAGUCUAAGCCACAGUACCACAUAGGAAACUCAUUUUUUGUCUGGUGUGAGGCAGGUGCUCUGCCACCGCUCUAUACCUCUAUUCCACAGUGCCAGUGUUUAUUGGUUUUCCCAGUUAUACCCUGUACCGAAGGUUCCUAGUGUGUGAUGGCUCACCUGACUGUCUUUCAACAUUAUGACAGUGAGAAAGUGAUACACGCUCAGUAGACACCAUGAAUUUGAAUGUUGAACUUUGAUCUUUUCCCAAGCUAGCAAUCUAUGGUGGAGCUUCUCUUAGAUGGUGGGCAACUCCCUGGUAACCCGGGCAUCCACAGUGCACUGUGUGUUUGAGCCGGAUGUUGGUAGCUGAGGUGUAUUGAGUGCAUUUCUGUCUCCUGGAUAUUUCCAGCUUGCACUGGAUUCACCAGAGUGUCCCCCCACAGCACAGCGAGGGGGGUCUGUGUAGCAUGUGUCUUCCUCCAGUCUGGCAUCUAUUAGGGAUUGUGUCUUUUGGGGGUGCCCAGCCACUUUAAUGUAAUCUGGAAUGGUUCCUCGACCUUGUUGUGUCACAACAUUGCUAUUUUCAUCAAAUCCAGGCCAGCUCUUUUGAUAGAAUGGCCCUUGGUUAGGAUGUAAAUGAGGCCCUUCACCAAGAGACCCACAGUGCACACGUGAUGUUGGAAUGUCCUGUAGCUGACUCCCCAUUCUGCUCGGAGGGUCACAUCGUGGGGAUGCCUGUGGGGUCCAAUCACCUGGUCAGGUGCUGUCCACUUGCUCCACUGUGUGGUUUCCAGUUCCCCCUGCAAGUGACCAGCAAAUGUUUAGGCCCAUUUGAAUGAGGGUUUCUGUUACUCCAACAUAAAAACUCCCAACUGAUUCAAUGCUUGUUUAUAUUUGGGGAUUAAUUGCUGAUUACCAUAGAGAAACAGGCAAGGGAUUAUGAAGGGGAAAAUAGAAGAGAUUCUUAAAGCUUUCACUGUGGGAAGAUAGGAGCAGAGCUGGACCACAGCACUGAGUCUCCUAGAGAAAUGAUCAUUUGGUGAUAUUUACUCUUUUGAGUGUAUUUUGUAAAUGCUUGAUAAGAGAGGGAGAGGGGCUUUCUAUUAAAAAAUAUUAUACUCUGUUCAAAGUAAGUGUAUGAGCUGUACUGAAUGUAACAUAACAUUUUAACUUUUUUUACAAAUCACAAUAUUCUUUCAUCUCUAUUUUCCAAGCUGGUCUUGAACUCACUAUGUAGCCCAGGCUUGCCUUGAACUCCCCAUGAUCCUCCUGCCUCAGCCGCCCAAGUGCUGAAAUUAUAGGUGUGAGCCACCACCAUGCCUGGCGAUUUUCAUCACUCUUAAAUGGAGACUGUUAGUUACACCCACAGAGGAUAGUAGUUAUUUAGAUUGUAUUAAAAAUGUUUAUGUAUUUUUUUUCUGCCUUUUGCAUUGACAAAAAUAUUUCUAUUUGUUGUAAAUGUAGAACCAAUAAAGCAGGCUUCCUCCUUAGGGUCCUGUGAAAGGAACUCUGGACCUGACCAUGAGAAGAAUCAAUACAAGGUAUUUACUGGCAGUGGUCUUGGGAAAAGGGGUCAGGAGAUAGAGGGGAGACAGCCAUUGGCGUGUGGAUCAUGUUUGUGUGUGUGUGUACUCCUGUGUGUGUCUACAACUGUUGUGAUUACCUUAGUUUGGGCCCCAGCUAGCAGAUCCUGAGGCAGGGUAGAGUGCAAAUCAUUUUAUGGGAGGUGGAGGGAAUACAGGUUGGAGAGUGUGCAAUAAAGAAGAAAUGCCCCAGUAAAGGCUUUGUACCCACCAGUGCCUGCAUAGACCACCGUCUUGGGUGACCCCACUGCAAGCUGAGGGAGCAGAUAGAGGAGAAAAUAACCCCCGUGCCUGACAACAGUCGGUCGUGUGAUGGCCAUGCAUGAGUGACCUGCAGGGACUGCAGUGACCGUGCUGGGGCAGCUGGUCUCAGCUAGGACAGGCCCCACUGCUGGGGACAGCUCCUCUCUCUGCCCUUGGAUCUCUGGACGCACACGUUUCCAACUCAAAGUGCAGAAGCGUACUCCCUGCUUGCAGCAGAGUUGUUGGCAGGGAGGACCACGGUGAUUUAGGAAUUGGGGCCUCCAAGUGUUAUUUCAGCGGAGCCGCCGGUUUGCUAGAGAAAUCUUUUACUUUUUCAGAGGUUCAGUUUCUGAAAUGGUGGGAUCAUUAUGGUGUGUGGGUCUGGGAGACACCCAUGGAUAAGGAGCCUUGAGAUGGUCUUGGAAGAAGGGUCGGGAUCUGGAGAGCGAAGUCUGGUGGUGGUGGGGACCGUGAUCAAAGUGUGAAGUGAGAGUGGACAGCAAGGGCCGGUACCAGGAUGCUGUUCCCUCCCCAUGUGCUGGGCCUUCACACUAAGCUACAGCCCCAGCCCGUACUUAAUGUUUUAGUUUGAGCCAAGGUCUUGCUCAAUCAUUAAGUUGCCCAGUAUAUUUUGUUAAUAUUGACAUUUACUAUCUAUUCAUAAAAGAGUGGUUGCUGUAUUGCAAUAAAGGUUCAUUUCAUUUUAUUUUUUUAUUAUUUUAUUGGGACAUUUUAGGUAUACAAUUCAUUUAUAUUUAUCAUUGGGUGCUUGUACCUGUACAUGAUGUAUCUUGGUUCUUAUUUUUGUCCCCAUUACCUGUGCACCCUUCACCCCCUCCAUCCUUCCC
rnacentral:lncRNA from 1 species